rnacentral:lncRNA from 1 species
AUAUGUUCUUUGGAGCUUCUCUGGAGUUUAGGAGCAGCUCUCAAUCCUACUUAGGAGUUCUCAAGUCCACCCUGUAUAUAGGGUGGAAUGGCUUGGUCAAAGGAAAAGCUUAGGAAUUUGCGACUGCUCUGCUUAAAGGCCCAUGAUGUCCUUAAGUUCGCUUUUAUUUCCAAUCCUACUUGUGGGACAUUGUAUCAAACGCUUACAAAUU